rnacentral:rRNA from 1 species
CCUACGGGAGGCAGCAGUGAGGAAUAUUGGACAAUGGCCGAGAGGCUGAUCCAGCCAUGCCGCGUGCGGGAAGACGGCCCUAUGGGUUGUAAACCGCUUUUGUUGGGGAGCAAUAAGGUCCACGUGUGGAUCGAUGAGAGUACCCAGCGAAUAAGCAUCGGCUAACUCCGUGCCAGCAGCCGCGGUAAU